CGUGCCAGCAGCCGCGGUAAUACGUAGGUGGCAAGCGUUAUCCGGAAUUAUUGGGCGUAAAGCGCGCGUAGGCGGUUUUUUAAGUCUGAUGUGAAAGCCCACGGCUCAACCGUGGAGGGUCAUUGGAAACUGGAAAACUUGAGCGCGGAAGAGGAAAGUGGAAUUCCAUGUGUAGCGGUGAAAUGCGCAGAGAUAUGGAGGAACACCAGUGGCGAAGGCGACUUUCUGGUCUGUAACUGACGCUGAUGUGCGAAAGCGUGGGGAUCAAACAGGAUUAGAUACCCUGGUAGUCCACGCCGUAAACGAUGA
rnacentral:rRNA from 1 species